rnacentral:rRNA from 1 species
ACGGAAUAGAUACCCCCGGUAGUCCUGGCAGUAAACGGUGCACGUUUGGUGUGGGCGCAAUCGACCGCGUCCGCGCCGGAGCUAAACGCGUUAAACGUGCCGCCUGGGAAGUACGGUCGCAAGAUUAAAACUCAAAGAAAUUGACGGGGACCCGCACAAGCGGUGGAGUAUGUGGCUUAAUUCGAUGCAACGCGAAGAACCUUACCUGGUCUUGACAUGCAUUGUGUCUCCGGUGAAAGCCGGAUAGGGUAGCAAUACCCGCUUUGCACAGGUGCUGCAUGGCUGUCGUCAGCUCGUGUCGUGAGAUGUUGGGUUAAGUCCCCGCAACGAGCGCAACCCCUGUGAUUUGUUGCCACCGGCUUAUGCCGAGCACUCGAAUCAGACUGCCUCGAUCAACGAGGAGGAAGGUGGGGAUGACGUCAAGUCCGUAUGGCCCUUACGACCAGGGCUGCACACGUACUACAAUGCCCAGUACAAUGUGAACCGAGACCGCGAGGUGGAGGAAACCAAUAAAA